AAAGCUCAAACCUAUAAGCAGGAGUUGCUAAACACAAUACAAAAAAAGAAAAGGCAAAAGUAUAAAACUAGGCCAAAGGGGCCUACUUUUAGAAAAUGAUGAA